GGCCACAUAACGUUGAAACACCAGUUCCCGUACGAUCACCGAAGUUAAGCAACUUCAAGCCUUGUCAGUAGCUAAGUGGGUGACCGCUUAAGAAUAACAGCUGUUGUAAG